UCAGCUGAUGAGCGCUGAUUGCUUCCUCCUCCUCCUCCUCCUCUUCUUAUUUAAUCUUCAUCCAGCCAACAGUUCCGUGAUGUUACUUUGAAGAGAAGCUGCACGAGCCGUGGAAGGAAAGAAACAAAGUGUCGCCGCUUAACUAAUGAAACUGUUCCGGGAGGAGGGAACUUGUGGCGGUAAUGCACCAACCGCCAUGAAACAUCAAAAAAGAACGAGGGAAGUUUAAAAAAAGAAGGGAAACAAAAGGAAAACUACCUCGGCGUGACGUCAGACGCCGAAAAGGUGGCCUCGUGGCAGCAAGGCGCUCCAGGGUGGCGUGUUCGGCCUGGUCCAGAUUGGUGUCCCGUCCAGAAUGGAACAACCUGCUUCCUGCUCACAGAGACCUGGUCUGACGCGCCAUAUUCAAAAGCCUGAGGCUGUCAAAAAAAGAUUGAUCUUCAUGAAGAUCGUCAAAGAGUAGGUGUGAUGAUUUAACUCUGGGUGGCCGCUGUGUCCCCACUCUUUCUUGGCCGCUGUGCCU